rnacentral:rRNA from 1 species
UACAGAGGGGGCGAGCGUUAUUCGGAAUUAUUGGGCGUAAAGGGCGCGUAGGCGGCUUUUCAAGUGACGGGUGAAAUCCCUCGGCUUAACCGAGGAACUGCCUGUCAGACUGGAAGGCUUGAGACCGGGAGAGGUGAGUGGAAUUCCCAGUGUAGCGGUGAAAUGCGCAGAUAUCAGGAGGAACACCUAUUGCGAAGGCAGCUCGCUGGGACGUUACUGACGCUGAGACGCGAAAGCGUGGGGAGCAAACAGG